GCCAAAAAAAGAGAGACUUUUUCUCGGUUCCCCUCCGUAUCCGCUCUGGGUCGUGGUGCUGCAUAAACCCCACCCUGGCUGGGUGCGUCGACGUACAGUGGGGCGGUGUCUAGCUAGCAGUGCCACGAACGACUGUGGUCAACGUCUCAAACCCUGCUCACGAUCCAACAUCAGCUUUCCACGGAGCAGCCAGGCUUUCAAAUGUCACUGAGAUGACUCAAAGUCGUGGCAAAAAUCCAACACGGACGCUUGCACAAGGUAUGUAAGAGAAAGUGGCAGUGGUAAGAAUGAGAAUUUAGGUUUCCACAUCACAUCGGUAGCGCUAACUCUUACAUCUGGCUCAUUUUCCUGAAUAAACAAACACACAGGUGUAAUAUUUUAAUUUAAUUCGUUAAAUUGGGUUCUCUGUGUCAGCUUCUUUUGUAUUUCACAGUGAUCACUUAGUGGUUGGAGGGUAUUUGGAUCAAAACUGCUUAUUAACAUUGACAUCUGCAUUCUGAUGGAUUUUGGAAGACAUGAUUUACUAAUACUUAUAAUUAUAAUAACAGGUGACUGACUUACUAAAGGCUUGUUACAAAAAUACAUUACACAAUUUAUUCAAGUCAUAAGUGCAAACGCCAAAAGUGUGAAAGAAUUUGUGCUUUAAUAAUAAUAAGAAGAAGAACAUUAACAGAGAGUCCUCAUUGUUGGUGCUGUUAAUUGGUGUUGAUCAUAUCUGACAAAAAAUAAACCAGUAAAUAAAACUGCUGUAAGAAUGGGAACAGUUAUUAAAUAAAACAGUGAAAAUAAUUGAAAUUAAAGUCAGUUGAAUGUUUUUUAACCAUUAUAAUGUUCAUAACUGUAUUACUAAUAGAUCAGUCGUUUCAUUACCAAAGUGUUUGAUAUAAAUUGGGAACAUAUGAGUCAAACAAAAGAACUAGAACUAUUAAUAUUACGCUACAGUUUUGAUUGAAAGUCUAAUGGCCACAUUGUGAUUUGUACAUUUUUACUAUUCUGUGUUUCGCACACAGCCGGUCAAAGUCAGGUAUGAAUGGGUUAGAGGUCAUAUCAUAAUUCCUCUGCAGUGAUGUCAAGGAAGUGUUAAAUAUGUAGAAAUGGUGCCAUCAUGUGGCGCUUCUCGGACACAGGGAAAUGCACAGCAUUUCUGCUUGUGUGCUUUAUAGUAUAAACUUUGACACUUGACAUCCCCAAAUGAGCACAUGAAUUCCCCAGAGUGACUGACAGCCGGUCUCCCAACUACCCAAAUGCAGAGUAUGCCUUUUUUUUUUUUUUUUGAUUACACUGUUUAUUUUAUUUUACUAGAUAAUAUUUUAUUUUAUUUUAUUUUAUUUAAAUCAAACCUAAUCUAAUCUUGUGGUGUUACUUUUGCAACAAAUCUACUGUGACCGAGUAAUCUCCCUUGAUUUUCCCUCGGACCAUUAAAGCCGGUCUAAAUCUAAGUCUAAUCCAGGGUUCAUAUCCGGACUCGGUGGAGCAGUUGGUUGAGAGGACGACGGUGGCCAAACUGUCAAACAACUCCUCUCACCCACCUGUAUGAGACUAAUGGGGUCUUAGGGAGUUCCUUCAGCCAGACAGUGGUGCAACCACAGAGCAAGAGGGACCACAGCCACUGUAAACUCUUUAACAUCAGCAUUUCUUAGCCAUGCUGCUGACUUUCCUCCGCACCUAAAGGACCACGGACACCCCCUGGACAAUACAUCUGCCUGCAUCUCAGGAAUGUUACUUAUAUAUUUUGUCAUUUCUGUUCAAUAACACUGUGUUUUAAAUGUUCUAGCAUCCCUCAAGGUUUUCUGCAUUUAAGCAUAAAAAUGACUUGAACAUUACCAGAUCGUGUCAUUUCUGUGCAAUAUCUGUUUUCUUAAGAGCAAUACUCCUCUUAAAGUGAUGCCCACUCUGUAUAUCCAGCCUCUGCCACUUCAAACACUGUUCUCUUUUUCAUCUAACUCUCCUGUGGUUGUUCUUUCACCAAACUGUAGGUAGUUGGUUGCUUAAGCUUGAUACAUCACCUGUAAACAUUUCUUGUACAUUUGUUAAUGUAUUUUCUUGCACAUUGUUGUUUUGUGACCUUUUUUUUUUUCCAUUGCCCACACAAUGUAACACCGUACAUUUCCCCUUGCAGAUCAAUAAAGUCAUGUUACCUUAAAUUUAAUGUCUUUUUUAAAUAUAUGUAACAAAAUCAGAGUAUUUUACACCUGUUUUCAUUAACAUAUUGUAGAAGUGACAAUGCACUUGACUUGAAUCUUAAGAAUGCCAUUUCAACAGUGAGACUAUGGGCUUGUUUCGCUGUCAAUACAUUGACUGGAAUCUAAUUUGGCCUUGAACUUGUAGUCCUAGAGGUGCACUUACUUUCCUACCCCACUGAUAUGUAAUCUUGGCUCAUUUUUCCAAAAACAAUCAACAACAAUAACAAAAAAACAAAUACACAAGUGUUUCUGUUUCAUUUGUUUAACUGGGUUCUCUUGGUCUACUUUUCAGGCAACAUGUAGAGUACUGUAUUUUGUACUUUCAACGAUAAAUAAUCAUACUGACACCACACAUGUUCAAUGUCCAUUUAUUCAGAAUCUAUGUGUUUAUACAAAUUGUUAAGAUAAAAUUCAUCUGAUGAGACCUCAGUACAUUCAUAUCUAUAUAGAAUAAAUAAUCUUACAGUUUGUACUGUACAUUGCCAUCAACACUGCAAAAGACCAUGUGAUCUCUGAGACAGGCUGUACAAACAUGGACCACACAAUUAAUGUUGCAGUCAUACCCACUCACAGCGGCACGGUUUGAAGCUGGUAUGAGCUGUACAAUUAAAAAGAAUCUGUACAUUAUUGGAUGAAAAGCUUUGUCUACAGUUUAUACAUGCUUGUUGUAAGGCUUCUCAAGAAUUAAGUCCCCUUUACUACAACUGUUCUGACUGAUCCAUGUGUUCAAGUCUAUGAGCCAGUCAAACAAUCAACAGGAACAUAAACACAACAAGACUGUCAUUUUUAAGGCUGAUAUUUUUUUUCUGCCUGAG